CCUACGGGUGGCAGCAGUGAGGAAUAUUGGUCAAUGGACGAGAGUCUGAACCAGCCAAGUCGCGUGAAGGAUGACUGCCCUAUGGGUUGUAAACUUCUUUUAUAUGGGAAUAAAACGUUCCACGUGUGGGAUUUUGUAGGUACCCUAUGAAUAAGGAUCGGCUAACUCCGUGCCAGCAGCCGCGGUAAUACGGAGGAUCCGAGCGUUAUCCGGAUUUAUUUGGGUUAAAGGGAGCGUAGGUGGAUAUUUCAGUCAGUUGUGAAAGUUUGCGGCUCAACCGUAAAAUUGCAGUUGAAACUAGCAGUCUUGAGUACAGUAGAGGUGGGCGGAAUUCGUGGUGUAGCGGUGAAAUGCUUAGAUAUCACGAAGAACUCCGAUUGCGAAGGCAGAGGACUGGACGGCAACUGACGGUGAGGCGCGAAAGCGUGGGGAGCAAACAGGAUUAGAUACCCGUGUAGUC
rnacentral:rRNA from 1 species